CUCUGGGCUGCAGACCAGGUUGGGUUACACUCCAGCACAAGUGCUGAGAGUGCAUCCCAGCCGUGGUCUAUGAAAUGCUGCACUAGGGGACGCUGUGUGUUUUUUUGUUUUUGAAUGUUGUACCUGUGCUGUGUGAAGCGGGUCAGGAGGCUGUUUCCCGUUUCACCCACAUACUGGAUCUUACAGAUUUGGCAUGUUAUCAAAUAAACACAAUUUUUUGAUUUAGGGUGUCCUGAUCGGUCUGAUUUGAAAAUUGUGUUGUUAAAUCUGUUCCUUACCCAGUGCAGCUGUUUGAAGAAUCCACCCUGACCUCUGGCCUUUGGUGUCUUUAGAGGCCUUACCUCAGCACGGACGAGGAAAUCCCUCAGGUUCCUUAUGGAUCUUAGGGAGCAGAUAGAACCGCCUUGCCCUGGGUUCAGAGGAGCCACGCAGGUCUUGGGAAAUCAAUUUCUCCACCUCAGGAGGGAGAGAGUUAAUUGGAGGAGACCAGUCUGACUCCGGCAUAAAAGGCUCUCGGGGCCAUCUAAUUUAACCACUCACUCCAGUGUUUGAGCAUGCGGGUCGCGGUGGCCUUGGACCAGUGGACGUUGUCACCAGUAACCGUGAAGGCCUUCUUCUCCAGCGCAGGGAUGGGGCAGUUAUGCUGUGAGAUGCGGCUGUUCAUUCAAUUCAAUUCAAUUCAAUUUUAUUUAUAUAGCGCCAAAUCAUGAAACAUGUCAUC